UUAUAAAACGAUAGUUUAACUUUACAAUGAAAAGAUAAUGUUUUAUUUAAACUAUAUAAAUAGAAAU
rnacentral:tRNA from 1 species